UCAGAAGUAUUUUAAAAUAUUUAAAAACAAAUCAAAAAUCAUUUAAUUCACAAAAAAUAUCAAAGUUAAUAAAAAAAUGAUUUUAAUUCAAAAUAUGGAAGAGGAAAAUAUUUAAAGAUUUUUGGUGAAAAUCCCAUAUUUUUUGGAUUAAAAAUGAAAUUUCUAUGAAUAAAAUAAAAUAAAAGGAUUAAAAGGAAAAUCAUAAAUUAAAAAGAAAAUAGAAAAAACAAGGGCCAUCAGAUCUUUCUCAUUAAUUGAGGUUGCAUAUCUGAUGAC
rnacentral:lncRNA from 1 species